AGAGUUUGAUCAUGGCUCAGAUUGAACGCUGGCGGCAGGCCUAACACAUGCAAGUCGAGCGGUAGCACAGAGAGCUUGCUCUCGGGUGACGAGCGGCGGACGGGUGAGUAAUGUCUGGGAAACUGCCUGAUGGAGGGGGAUAACUACUGGAAACGGUAGCUAAUACCGCAUAACGUCGCAAGACCAAAGUGGGGGACCUUCGGGCCUCAUGCCAUCAGAUGUGCCCAGAUGGGAUUAGCUAGUAGGUGGGGUAACGGCUCACCUAGGCGACGAUCCCUAGCUGGUCUGAGAGGAUGACCAGCCACACUGGAACUGAGACACGGUCCAGACUCCUACGGAGGCAGCAGUGGGGAAUAUUGCACAAUGGGCGCAAGCCUGAUGCAGCCAUGCCGCGUGUGUGAAGAAGGCCUUCGGGUUGUAAAGCACUUUCAGCGGGGAGGAAGGCGGUGAGGUUAAUAACCUCAUCGAUUGACGUUACCCGCAGAAGAAGCACCGGCUAACUCCGUGCCAGCAGCCGCGGUAAUACGGAGGGUGCAAGCGUUAAUCGGAAUUACUGGGCGUAAAGCGCACGCAGGCGGUCUGUCAAGUCGGAUGUGAAAUCCCCGGGCUCAACCUGGGAACUGCAUUCGAAACUGGCAGGCUAGAGUCUUGUAGAGGGGGGUAGAAUUCCAGGUGUAGCGGUGAAAUGCGUAGAGAUCUGGAGGAAUACCGGUGGCGAAGGCGGCCCCCUGGACAAAGACUGACGCUCAGGUGCGAAAGCGUGGGGAGCAAACAGGAUUAGAUACCCUGGUAGUCCACGCCGUAAACGAUGUCGAUUUGGAGGUUGUGCCCUUGAGGCGUGGCUUCCGGAGCUAACGCGUUAAAUCGACCGCCUGGGGAGUACGGCCGCAAGGUUAAAACUCAAAUGAAUUGACGGGGGCCCGCACAAGCGGUGGAGCAUGUGGUUUAAUUCGAUGCAACGCGAAGAACCUUACCUGAUCUUGACAUCCACAGAACUUUCCAGAGAUGGAUUGGUGCCUUCGGGAACUGUGAGACAGGUGCUGCAUGGCUGUCGUCAGCUCGUGUUGUGAAAUGUUGGGUUAAGUCCCGCAACGAGCGCAACCCUUAUCCUUUGUUGCCAGCGGUCCGGCCGGGAACUCAAAGGAGACUGCCAGUGAUAAACUGGAGGAAGGUGGGGAUGACGUCAAGUCAUCAUGGCCCUUACGACCAGGGCUACACACGUGCUACAAUGGCAUAUACAAAGAGAAGCGACCUCGCGAGAGCAAGCGGACCUCAUAAAGUAUGUCGUAGUCCGGAUUGGAGUCUGCAACUCGACUCCAUGAAGUCGGAAUCGCUAGUAAUCGUAGAUCAGAAUGCUACGGUGAAUACGUUCCCGGGCCUUGUACACACCGCCCGUCACACCAUGGGAGUGGGUUGCAAAAGAAGUAGGUAGCUUAACCUUCGGGAGGGCGCUUACCACUUUGUGAUUCAUGACUGGGGUGAAGUCGUAACAAGGUAACCGUAGGGGAACCUGCGGUUGGAUCACCU
rnacentral:rRNA from 1 species